rnacentral:misc_RNA from 1 species
GAAAUGCGAUACGUAAUGUGAAUUGCAGAAUUCCGUGAAUCAUCGAAUCUUUGAACGCACAUUGCACUCUAUUUCGGUAGAGUAUGCCUGUUUGAGAAUCUAUUAAAUUCUUUUACCAUAAUAUUUUUAUUUUUAUAAUUGAAUGUUCAUGGUAAAGAUUUGAACUUUUCUCUACUAUUUUUAACGAAUAGUUGGAGUGGUUUUAAAUAGAUUACCUUUUUGUUCAACAACUUUUAUAUUGAAUAAUUUGACAAAUAGUAUUUGCAUGAACCGUGGUUCUAACUUUUACUUUGGUCAUAUUUUUUAAUUAGUUGGGCGAAAAUGGUUCAACCUUUUUUUUAUAACAUGGUCUCAAAUCAGGUAGGAAUACCCGCUGAACUUAA